CACAUAUACCUGUAUGUGUUUUAAAGCC
rnacentral:piRNA from 1 species